rnacentral:misc_RNA from 1 species
GUGUCUGCAGUCCGAGCUUGCUAGGCUCUCUUUACUUUACAAGUCAGAACGUCUACCGGAACGGUUAUUAUGAAACGAGAUUUCUUGCUACCUAUCGCCUAUCAUCAUGAGAAGCGUCUUCUUAUCGUCAUGAAUUGGAUCAUGUCUGCUGUGAACAAUGGGACUGAAAGCUGACAGCAAGCAUUCCUUUAGAAAGGCUAGGCACCAGAGUCAUAGCUUAUGCGAGUCUUACCUUACCACCUGGGAAAUGCACAGAAUAGGUUUUCAGGAAUUGAAUCCGAAGCAAAGAAUGCAAGCUUUGAGGGGUCCGAGUUCGUCACUCCUUGAUAACUUUCUUUUUUGACUUCUUAGCUGCUCGAAGUCGCCAUGUAGGCAGCGUAGGGACUGAUUUUGCGGCACUCUCGUUUGCAUUCUAUAGUAUAGCUCCUUUAUGUCCCGAUAACCCACGGAAUCGACUUGAUUGGGCUAUUUGAAUCUAUAUGUGUGCGGCCAAGCAAGCUAGCCAAUGCGAAGCGUUCUGUGAUUAUCUACAAUAUUAUUAGAUAGAAAUGCUCUUUUCUUCAAUAGCGCACCAAAUGCGCGCAAAGGCGGAGGGUAGGGUGAAAGAGAAGUCAAGGUCUCAGCAUCAGCUAGAAUAGAUGGUGACGGAUAUCCAAUGGAUAUUUACCACCAGAUGACUUGCAGCAAGGGACAUAUCCCUCCCGAUUAUAACAGUGGGCCUCGCCC